rnacentral:piRNA from 1 species
UGCUUCUUUAGGAACCUACACAGAU